AGUUUGAUCCUGGCUCAGGACGAACGCUGGCGGCGUGCCUAACACAUGCAAGUCGAACGGAACUGUUUUGAAAGAUUUCUUCGGAAUGAAUUUGAUUUAGUUUAGUGGCGGACGGGUGAGUAACGCGUGAGUAACCUGCCUUCAAGAGGGGGAUAACAUUCUGAAAAGAAUGCUAAUACCGCAUGACAUAUCGGAACCACAUGGUUUUGAUAUCAAAGAUUUUAUCGCUUGAAGAUGGACUCGCGUCCGAUUAGUUAGUUGGUGAGGUAACGGCUCACCAAGACCGCGAUCGGUAGCCGGACUGAGAGGUUGAACGGCCACAUUGGGACUGAGACACGGCCCAGACUCCUACGGGAGGCAGCAGUGGGGGAUAUUGCGCAAUGGGGGCAACCCUGACGCAGCAACGCCGCGUGAAGGAUGAAGGUUUUCGGAUUGUAAACUUCUUUUAUUAAGGACGAAACUUGACGGUACUUAAUGAAUAAGCUCCGGCUAACUACGUGCCAGCAGCCGCGGUAAUACGUAGGGAGCAAGCGUUGUCCGGAUUUACUGGGUGUAAAGGGUGCGUAGGCGGCUUUGCAAGUCAGAUGUGAAAUCUAUGGGCUCAACCCAUAAACUGCAUUUGAAACUGUAGAGCUUGAGUGAAGUAGAGGCAGGCGGAAUUCCCCGUGUAGCGGUGAAAUGCGUAGAGAUGGGGAGGAACACCAGUGGCGAAGGCGGCCUGCUGGGCUUUAACUGACGCUGAGGCACGAAAGCGUGGGUAGCAAACAGGAUUAGAUACCCUGGUAGUCCACGCUGUAAACGAUGAUUACUGGGUGUGGGGGGUCUGACCCCUUCCGUGCCGGAGUUAACACAAUAAGUAAUCCACCUGGGGAGUACGGCCGCAAGGUUGAAACUCAAAUGAAUUGACGGA
rnacentral:rRNA from 1 species